rnacentral:rRNA from 1 species
GCGUAUGCAACCUACCUUAUACAGGGGAAUAGCCCGAAGAAAUUCGGAUUAAUGCUCCAUGGUUUAUCGAUAUGGCAUCGUAUUGAUAAUAAAGAUUUAUCGGUAUAAGAUGGGCAUGCGUAUCAUUAGCUAGUUGGUGUGGUAACGGCAUACCAAGGCAACGAUGAUUAGGGGUCCUGAGAGGGAGAUCCCCCACACUGGUACUGAGACACGGACCAGACUCCUACGGGAGGCAGCAGUGAGGAAUAUUGGUCAAUGGAGGCAACUCUGAACCAGCCAUGCCGCGUGCAGGAUGACGGUCCUAUGGAUUGUAAACUGCUUUUGUACAGGAAGAAACCUCCCUACGAGUAGGGACUUGACGGUACUGUAAGAAUAAGGAUCGGCUAACUCCGUGCCAGCAGCCGCGGUAAUACGGAGGAUCCGAGCGUUAUCCGGAAUUAUUGGGUUUAAAGGGUUCGUAGGCGGCUUUGUAAGUCAGUGGUGAAAUUUCCUAGCUUAACUAGGACACUGCCAUUGAUACUGCAGAGCUUGAAUAGUAUGGAAGUAACUAGAAUAUGUAGUGUAGCGGUGAAAUGCUUAGAUAUUACAUGGAAUACCAAUUGCGAAGGCAGGUUACUACGUAUUUAUUGACGCUGAUGAACGAAAGCGUGGGGAGCGAACAGGAUUAGAUACCCUGGUAGUCCACGCCGUAAACGAUGGAUACUAGCUGUUCGGUUUUCGGACUGAGUGGCUAAGCGAAAGUGAUAAGUAUCCCACCUGGGGAGUACGUUCGCAAGAAUGAAACUCAAAGGAAUUGACGGGGGCCCGCACAAGCGGUGGAGCAUGUGGUUUAAUUCGAUGAUACGCGAGGAACCUUACCAGGGCUUAAAUGUAGAUUGACAGAUUUGGAAACAGAUUUUUCUUCGGACAAUUACAAGGUGCUGCAUGGUUGUCGUCAGCUCGUGCCGUGAGGUGUCAGGUUAAGUCCUAUAACGAGCGCAACCCCUAUUGUUAGUUACCAGCGCGUAAUGGCGGGGACUCUAGCAGAAUGCCGGUGCAAACCGUGAGGAAGGUGGGAUGA